rnacentral:rRNA from 1 species
GACGAACGCUGGCGGCGUGCUUAACACAUGCAAGUCGAACGGUGAAGCGCUUGCCUUUUUGGUGGGUGUGGAUGAGUGGCGAACGGGUGAGUAACACGUGAGUAACCUGCCCUCUUCUUCUGGAUAACCUCAUGAAAGUGGGGCUAAUACGGGGUAUUCCGGGUCUGUCGCAUGGCGGGUUUGGGAAAGAUUGCGCCUUUGGGUGUUUUCGGUGGGGGAUGGGCUCGCGGCCUAUCAGCUUGUUGGUGGGGUGAUGGCCUACCAAGGCGGUGACGGGUAGCCGGCCUGAGAGGGUGGACGGCCACACUGGGACUGAGACACGGCCCAGACUCCUGCGGGAGGCAGCAGUGGGGAAUAGUGCACAAUGGGCGCAAGCCUGAUGCAGCGACGCCGCGUGAGGGAUGGAGGCCUGCGGGUUGUGAACCUCUUUCGCCAGUGAAGCAGGCCUGCCUCGUUUGUGGGUGGGUUGACGGUAGCUGGAUAAGAAGCGCCGGCUAACUACGUG